GUCAUUUCUCACAGGAGCCUGCCUUGUACUUAUCUGUCCACGGGUCUCUCUCCUUUGCUCCGCGGUGAGUCCUCUGAGCAGAAACCAUGUCUUUCAACCCCUAAGAACCUUUUCAUGACACUGUCUCACAGUACUCACCUGAUCCCCUGGAAAGUGAGAGCCGUUUCUUCACUAGAUACUUUCCCUCCAGUGUCCCAGUAUUGGUGGCCACAGUGGGAGCCCCUUACAGCUGGCUCUUGAGUCUUGUUGACACAUCCCAUCAUUCUUUGGCACCAGUGCUAUGAUUGAUGGCUGCACGGAAUGCCCUUACUGGCCCAAACCAAAGGCCCAUCCAGCUUAGUCUGCCUGAGAAGGACCAAAGCUGACGUAGCUUUCCAUGUUUUCUGCCUGAGAGAACCUGUGCAGCUCUCCACUGACACAGUGAAAGCAUCUCCCAGGGGUGAGUUCAAAACAGUUCCCUGACAUGUCUUGGAAAUAGUGCUACUGGGGACAAAAUCAAAACUAAUGUUACCUGGGGCAAUGGGAAGUGCGUUCUGCAUGUAAUUUACACUGGAACUUGAUAUGACUACUGUAAAAACUAUAAAUGAAUAUGAUUCUUAGUUAAAAGAUUUAUGUGCAACUGGAAGAAAAUGGAGUAAUAUGUUCACCACAGUGAAAAGCAAUGGUGGCAACGAGCUUUCUGUAUGGAGGGGCUUAGGGUUGGUAAUCUGGUGGGAAGAGGGAGCUAGAAGAAAGUCUUGACGCUGCAUAUGCAGAAGAAGGACACAUUUGUAUUUGGAGCAUAUGUUUCCUUGGGGCAGCUUUCAGGAAGAGGGCAGUGCUAAAGCCCACCCAAACCACCCCCUGGUGCCACUGCUGUCUGAGUGGUAGAAUUAAAAGUAGUUCUAAUUUUCUC